GGAAAACCGGCCAACAAAAAGAAACUCGACUUUGGCAGCGGAGAAUUUCAUGCUGUCUGUGGACCAGACCAUUGUGAAUGGCCACAUCAGAAUCUUCAGUGAUGCUUUUAUGCUGAUGUUUGGUUCGUACUACUGUAUGAACAUAUCUUACCCAGCAGCCCAGGCAUCAACUUUGGAGUUCUUACAGAGGUGCCUCUUCAAGAUAAAUCCAGACAAGGGAUCAAAAGUGGAG